GAGUUAUUAUGUAGGGUGAUACGCCCCUACAAUACACUUAUCUUAAACUCAAUACUCUAAAAAAACACUAAAAAAAGGAAAACUUAAAAGAAAUCAUAAUUUACUGUAAAAGAAGAAAUCUGACUGAACACAUCAUUACAAACUUUACACUAAAAGAAAAUUCUUCUUUUAUAAUCAAAUUAUAAAUGCGACACCAAAAUCUCAUCCAUGUAGAAUAAACAAAAUUAAAACUUGCAGAAAUUUGAGAGAAAAUAAAAGUUUAC
rnacentral:lncRNA from 1 species